rnacentral:rRNA from 1 species
AUGAACGCUGGCGGCGUGCCUAAUACAUGCACGUCGAGCGAACGGACGAGAAGCUUGCUUCUCUGAUGUUAGCGGCGGACGGGUGAGUAACACGUGGAUAACCUACCUAUAAGACUGGGAUAACUUCGGGAAACCGGAGCUAAUACCGGAUAAUAUUUUGAACCGCAUGGUUCAAAAGUGAAGGACGGUCUUGCUGUCACUUAUAGAUGGAUCCGCGCUGCAUUAGCUAGUUGGUAAGGUAACGGCUUACCAAGGCAACGAUGCAUAGCCGACCUGAGAGGGUGAUCGGCCACACUGGAACUGAGACACGGUCCAGACUCCUACGGGAGGCAGCAGUAGGGAAUCUUCCGCAAUGGGCGAAAGCCUGACGGAGCAACGCCGCGUGAGUGAUGAAGGUCUUCGGAUCGUAAAACUCUGUUAUUAGGGAAGAACAUAUGUGUAAGUAACUGUGCACAUCUUGACGGUACCUAAUCAGAAAGCCACGGCUAACUACGUG